GGCAACAUGGCCGAGCGGUUAAGGCGUUUGCCUCGAAUUAACUUCGAACCAGAUCUACUGGUAGCAAAUGGGAUUUCCCGCGCAGUUUCGAAUACUGCUGUUGUCG